UGGCAUGACGUCAUUGAUCAUUGCGUCAUUUCCGUGUUCAAGGCGCUGCUGCUAACAUGUAAACACAAUGGGGCCGCUUACGUUUUACUUCUCAAUAUCCACGAAAAAAAGUUCGGCGAGGGUCAAAAUAGCUGAUGGCUUACACCUGACAGGAGCUGGCACAUGUCAUCUGGUGAUCUGGACUCCUCUGGAUCUUAUAAUCCUACUCAACCAUAACAUUUUACCAUCAUUGUUUCCUGUUUUCCACUUUAUCUAUGUCAAGUGAUUGUUUCGUGUUACAUAAUUGUGUAUUGUCAUGCAUUCUUUACCUUGUUCUACGACAGGAUAUUCAUUCUAAAUGUUGACGCCCGCUGAAGCCUCCCCAGAUUUUAUUUCUUUGAUAUCAAUGUCUGUGCAUUUGUACCAGUUGAACUGCUGUUUUGUGUUAUGAUGUUUAACAGCAUAUAUUUGAAAAGCAGCAGAAGAGCAAAGUAGUCAAAAUAAAUUGAGGGAGCAAGCUAA